AUUGAACGCUGGCGGCAGGCCUAACACAUGCAAGUCGAACGAGUGGCGGACGGGUGAGUAAUGUCUGGGAAACUGCCUGAUGGAGGGGGAUAACUACUGGAAACGGUAGCUAAUACCGCAUACCAUCAGAUGUGCCCAGAUGGGAUUAGCUAGUUGGUGGGAAAACGGCUCACCAAGCCGAGGAUCCCUAGCUGGUCUGAGAGGUUGACCAGACAACCGGGAGUGCAGACAGGGCCAAGAUCCUACCGGGAGGCAUCAGUGGGGAACAUUGGAAAAGGGGGGCAAGCCUAAUGCAGACAUGCGGCGUGUAUGAAGAAGUCCUUCGGGUUUUAAAGUACGUUCAGCAGGGAGGCGUUACCCGCAGAAGAAGCACCGGCUAACUACGUGCCAGCAGCCGCGGUAAUAC
rnacentral:rRNA from 1 species